GAAGGCCAUAUGCUUUGGAAGAAGCUUGUAUAGUUUGGGAAGGGGUUUUUUGAGAGAAAAGAAGAAUCUACUUCAAC
rnacentral:ncRNA from 1 species